rnacentral:rRNA from 1 species
GCCGGCAGCUAGCUCUCUGCAACUCUCAUGGUCGCCCACUGAAGCUAACCAGGGCUGAACUUGGUCAGUACCUGGAUGGGAGACCACAUGGGAAAGCUGGAUUGCUGCCAGAA